rnacentral:rRNA from 1 species
AUACGUAGGGGGCAAGCGUUAUCCGGAUUUACUGGGUGUAAAGGGAGUGUAGGUGGCCUUACAAGUCAGAAGUGAAAGCCCGGGGCUCAACCCCGGGACUGCUUUUGAAACUGCAUGGCUUGAGUGCAGGAGAGGUAAGUGGAAUUCCUAGUGUAGCGGUGAAAUGCGUAGAUAUUAGGAGGAACACCAGUGGCGAAGGCGACUUACUGGACUGUAACUGACACUGAGGCUCGAAAGCGUGGGGAGC